rnacentral:rRNA from 1 species
UACGUAGGGUGCAAGCGUUGUCCGGAAUUAUUGGGCGUAAAGGGCUCGUAGGCGGUCCGUCACGUCGGGAGUGAAAACUUGGGGCUUAACCCCAAGCCUGCUUCCGAUACGGGCGGACUAGAGGUAGGCAGGGGAGAACGGAAUUCCUGGUGUAGCGGUGAAAUGCGCAGAUAUCAGGAGGAACACCGGUGGCGAAGGCGGUUCUCUGGGCCGAUACUGACGCUGAGGAGCGAAAGCGUGGGGAGCGAACAGG